GUGGACUUUGCUGUGUCCGCGGAUGUGAACCCCUGAUGGUGGUGAUAUUCCUGGCAUUCGUUAGACUUCUCCAUUCUCCUGGGUUUCCUUUUUUUUGCAUUUGAAUAGAAAGAAUUAUGGCCUAUUGUUAAUAAUUUAGAAUACAAACGAAGCGAGGAAUAUCCUGCUGUCAAAGUAAUCAACAUUGCCAGCUGUUUUCCAAAAGGAUGAUGGCCAUGGGUACUAUAAGAGGUCAUGGUUAGAAAUAAGGUAUUAUUCAAAAUUUCAUUUCAUGGGCACCCAGAAAGCUGAGUUGGUAGUGCAGGGGUCGUGGGUUCGUUUCCCGCCAGAAGCUUUGGUCUGUCGCUACUGUGGUAUCACAAUGGACUUAAAAUUGUCUGAGUGAGUCUGUAAAUUACUGCCACUCUCACCUAACCUAACCUUCAUCGAGAAUUCAUCUAAAUGUCAGCUGUAUUUCCUAAACUCAACACAAAAAAAUUUCAACAAAAAUUCACACAAAAAUAAAAUUUUACACUUUGACUAUGUGCCAUA